AUUGAACGCUGGCGGCAUGCCUUACACAUGCGAGUCGAACGGUAACAGGUCUUCGGAUGCUGACGAGUGGCGAACGGGUGAGUAAUACAUCGGAACGUGCCUAGUAGUGGGGGAUAACUACUCGAAAGAGUGGCUAAUACCGCAUGAGAUCUACGGAUGAAAGCAGGGGAUCGCAAGACCUUGUGCUACUAGAGCGGCCGAUGGCAGAUUAGGUAGUUGGUGGGAUAAAAGCUCACCAAGCCGACGAUCUGUAGCUGGUCUGAGAGGACGAUCAGCCACACUGGGACUGAGACACGGCCCAGACUCCUACGGGAGGCAGCAGUGGGGAAUUUUGGACAAUGGGCGAAAGCCUGAUCCAGCAAUGCCGCGUGCAGGAUGAAGGCCUUCGGGUUGUAAACUGCUUUUGUACGGAACGAAAAGCCCCGGGUUAAUACCCUGGGGUCAUGACGGUACCGUAAGAAUAAGCACCGGCUAACUACGUGCCAGCAGCCGCCGUAA
rnacentral:rRNA from 1 species